UACGUAGGUGGCAAGCGUUGUCCGGAUUUACUGGGCGUAAAGGGCAGGCAGGCGGACUACUAAGUAGGAAGUGAAAGGUUGGUGCUCAACACUAACACUGCUUCCUAUACUGGCAGUCUUGAGUCCCGGAGGGGAAAGCGGAACAAUACGUGUAGCGGUGAAAUGCGUUGAUAUGUAUUGGAACACCAAUGGCGAAGGCAGCUUUCUGGACGGUGACUGACGCUCAUCUGCGAAAGCCGAGGUAGCGAACAGG
rnacentral:rRNA from 1 species